rnacentral:rRNA from 1 species
GGCCAUACUACCCUGAACGUGCCCGAUCUCGUCAGAUCUCAGAAGCAAAGCAGGGUCGGGCCUGGUUAGUACUUGGAUGGGAGAAAACAUUUAUGUGGCCAACAAAU